rnacentral:rRNA from 1 species
GCUUGAUUGGAUAGGACCCGCGGUGCAUUAGCUAAGUUGGUGAGGUAACGGCUCACCAAGGCGACGAUGCAUAGCCGACCUGAGAGGGUGAUCGGCCACAUUGGGACUGAAACACGGCCCAAACUCCUACGGGAGGCAGCAGUAGGGAAUCUUCGGCAAUGGACGAAAGUCUGACCGAGCAACGCCGCGUGAGUGAAGAAGGUUUUCGGAUCGUAAAACUCUGUUGUUAUAGAAGAACAAGGAUGAGAGUAACUGUUCAUCCCUUGACGGUAUCUAACCAGAAAGCCACGGCUAACUACGUGCCAGCAGCCGCGGUAAUACGUACGUGGCAAAGCGUUGUCCGGAUUUAUUGGGCGUAAAGCGAGCGCAGGCGGUUUCUUAAGUCUGAUGUGAAAGCCCCCGGCUCAACCGGGGAGGGUCAUUGGAAAACUGGGAGACUUGAGUGCAGAAGAGGAGAGUGGAAUUCCAUGUGUAGCGGUGAAAAUGCGUAGAU